rnacentral:lncRNA from 1 species
UUUGGAAAUCGUGUUAAGCCAAAAUCCGCCCUUUUUGACAGAAAAAAAUGAAAAACAAAAACCCUAACCAGAGAGAAAGAGAGCUAUUUCAAUUUUCAAUGGCGAUACAGACCACCUCGAGUUCGAGCGGAAGAAGACAUGCUUUAGGCAUACAACUCAAAGCACUUGUUUGGUAAGCUUCCAAUUCGCUAUUUUCCCACUUGUAUGAUUUUGGAUUAGACGAAUCUUAUUGCAUAGAAAUAGCGAGAAAAAUGACAGACUAAAAUUCUAAUCUCCUCCCCAAAUGCCACCAUUGUUGGAAUUUGAAGCAAUUGAAAACAUAGUUGUUUUUAUUUUAUUUUUCAAUUUCAAGUAGAAAAAGAAGAGAAUUCAAGGUUUUUGGCAUAGUAGAAUUGUGAACUAUUUCUACAAUCUAGUUUGGUGGGAGUUACUGUGGGGAGUUUAGGGAAGCUUGCAAUUAAUUCUUUAAUCUGUCACUGUCAAUGUAGUUUGGAGGGAGUUUCUGCGGAGACUACUUCUAGGGCAUUUGGGGACCUGUAAAGACAUAUAUUCAGAGCCAACUAGUCUUUGUGCAAGUCAGGUAUUGAUUUAACAUUCAUGGCUAAUGGGUAAAGCUCAAUUUUCAAAUACUGGAUCUGGCAUUUUAUUUUCUUGCUCAAGUGUUUCCGUAGCUUAGUUUGUAUGUAUCACCCCUUUUCUUUUGGCCUUUCCCACAACUGCUCGGUGACCCUGGCAAAAAUACGACUUCAACUCCUAAUAGAAAAUAUAUAUUCUAAUAGGAUUUCUACUUCCUAACAUGCACUCCCCACACUUGUUUAUUGCCAUAUUUUGUCCCAAAAAGGAAAAUUCAGAAGUACCCUGUUUUGGUCAUUAUUCUGUUUCUCUCUCCUUAAUCUGGUUCUUAUUUUUAGUGUAUUAGUUUUGUUUCUAAUUAUGAUUUCAUCUGCACUUGCAGGUUAUGUUCUAUGAAGGGUUGAAAGAUUAAAUAGAGUAUGGGAAGCAAAAAUAGGUAUGCAAUCCAAAUUUCCAUAUUGGUUGUUCUGUUUGGGGGACACCCAUACUAGGAGGAUUGGCUAGUGGUGAUAUGUACCUUGCCUAUACUAUGUCUUUAAAUCUUGUAUAAUUGGUUUCAGUAUUUUUUUGUAGGGUAAUAUAUUCUUGCCUUAGGUUUUUUGUAGGGCCUCAGAUUUACGUCUCAAAUUUUUCUACUAUUGUAUCACUCAUGGGAUGGAUUAUGGAAGUUAGACAUGAUAGCAAAAAGGUUUAUCAGUUUCCAUCUAAUGUUUUUGUGAACUUCAGGUACAAUGGGUGGUUGGAUGCACAGGGGAUGUUCAGGUAGCAAAUCCAGCUUUAGCUCUUACCUUAAUGGCUGCACUACGGAAUUUCCCAGAAGGAUUGAGCAAUGAUAACACACGAGGGUACCCUAAAGGUUGUCCCUCAGAUAUUUGAGGGAUCCCUCAAUAGGAGAGAGAGAGGAAAUGAAGCAUUUUUUCUCGUCUUUUAUGUAAAGUUCACAUCAUCAGGAGGGGAUAAGAUUUGAAGAGUGAAGAGAUUGACAAGCAUUCUGUGUGAGAGAGAGAGAGAGAGAGAGAGAGAGAGAGAGAGAGAGUCCCUCUCCCUAGUUUCAAGGGUUGGUCCCAGUUUCCUGAUUCUCUAGUUGAUGAGCAUAUGUGUACUUUUUGUUGUACUCGUGUCGUGUGGACUAACUCAACCCUAGAAGAAGAAGAAUUGAAACAAAAUAACUUGCUCAUAAACUUGUAUGCAGCUCAAAUUUGUGAGGGGGUGGUUUGAACUUUUAAAUACAUGGUUUUGUUUUUGUUGGUUCUAGAAAGUGUGUUCGACCAACAGAAAAAGAAAGUGUGUGAGUGGCGUUCUGAUACUACUAUUGGG